rnacentral:misc_RNA from 1 species
UCUCCGUUGGUGAACCAGCGGAGGGAUCAUUACUGGAAUCGCAAGAUCCCACAACCCCUGUGAACCUACCGAAACGUUGCCUCGGCGGGCGCCCGGCCCCGCGCCGGGCGCUGAGCCCGCCGGCGGCCCCCUACUCUUGUCUCUGCAGCGUGGCAUCUCAGAGUCCCGGAAAACAAGAAAAAACUUUCAACAACGGAUCUCUUGGCUCUA